AGUCACUUCAUUCAAAAUGUCAAACACCACAUUCUUUCUGCCCUGAGUGUUUGUUGCAGAGAAUUUAUGUUGUAAAUUUAGAUGAUUAUAAAUUAGAGAGCAAAAUUUAUAUUUUCAGCGUUCCAACACAUGCUUCAUUCUGUGCUGUAAGCUAACUUGUAGUAUUCCAGUACGUCACAUGUUGUAUGUGCUUUAAAUUGUAUGUAUUCUGUAAAUUGUUGUAUGGGGAUUCUGAGAUUUUAUUGCUUGUGACCCAAACUGUGAAGAAGUGGGUUUGAAAUUUUGCUCAUGAAAUAUAGGAUCAGAAAACCAUGGACAAAGGUUUUUACCUGUGUUGAUAUGACUUUUGGAAACUCAAACUGACCGGUCAAAAUUUUGCCAUGCCUUUAACAUGGAGUAGUAUAAAUAUUUUGAGUCUUUGAGAGUUCUGACAAAUGCAGGUGAUACCAUGUCUGUGUAAUCUGGUCCAAAUGUUCUAGAAGCGUAUAAGAGAGAAAUUCUAUUGACAGGGUACAUAUGUUGCAACUGGUUAAUGCAAGUGUUAUACAAAUGUUUAAGUCAAACGCGUUAUAUGGCCGUACGGGAUCCCUUCUGUAAAAAAUAAACCCUUUUGGUACCAGAAGUCUUAAAUAAAUCCGAUACAAACUAAAAUUGGUAUACCUUACAAUAAUAUGUUCUGAAUACAGCUGUUAGAAGUUUAUUCUGUGUGAAUGGUGAUUGUGAUAAAUGUGUGUUUUGGUUACUCAUUUUAAAGUGUGCAGUUUUAAUUGUCAUGUAUGUUAAUGGCUAUUUUGCUGUGUUAUUUUAAAUUAUAUUUGAAUAAGUUUGUCUUACGAUUGAUACAGAUGAAAAUGGCAGCGUAAUAAUCUAUUAAAUAACUGAUUUAUUAUUGAAUACUAGUCCAAGAGCAAUAUGAGUUGUAGUCUUAAGAAAGAAAAAAAGGUGGGAGUCUGUUUUUGUAAGUUUUAGCUGAUUUCCAAAAUUCUGUUGCAAUAAUGGACGUCCUGCCAAAAUUUGACUUUCCUGUCCAGUUGCCAGGUGCUCUGAUCUAAUCUUAAAGUAGUACUGAUUGCAAAGUUUGCAGACAUGCAUAAUGCACAAACAUGAGAACCAAAUUAUGUCUGUCAUAGUGUGAC